rnacentral:rRNA from 1 species
GAUGAACGCUGGCGGCGUGCUUAACACAUGCAAGUCGAACGAUGAAGCCCAGCUUGCUGGGUGGAUUAGUGGCGAACGGGUGAGUAACACGUGAGUAACCUGCCCUUAACUCUGGGAUAAGCCUGGGAAACUGGGUCUAAUACCGGAUAGGAGCGUCCACCGCAUGGUGGGUGUUGGAAAGAUUUAUCGGUUUUGGAUGGACUCGCGGCCUAUCAGCUUGUUGGUGAGGUAAUGGCUCACCAAGGCGACGACGGGUAGCCGGCCUGGGAGGGUGACCGGCCACACUGGGACUGCGACACGGCCCAGACUCCUACGGGAGGCAGCAGUGGGGAAUAUUGCACAAUGGGCGCAAGCCUGAUGCAGCGACGCCGCGUGAGGGAUGACGUCCUUCGGGUUGUAAACCUCUUUCAGUAGGGAAGAAGCGAAAGUGACGGUACCUGCAGAAGAAGCACCGGCUAACUACGUG